rnacentral:rRNA from 1 species
CCUACGGGCGGCAGCAGUGAGGAAUAUUGGUCAAUGGGCGAGAGCCUGAACCAGCCAAGUCGCGUGAGGGAGUACUGCCCUAUGGGUUGUAAACCUCUUUUGUCGGGGAGCAAAAGCCGGACGUGUCCGGCUGUGAGAGUACCCGAAGAAAAAGCAACGGCUAACUCCGUGCCAGCAGCCGCGGUAAUACGGAGGAUGCGAGCGUUAUCCGGAUUUAUUGGGGUUAAAGGGUGCGCAGGCGGAUUUUUAAGUCAGCGGUCAAAUCGUGGGGCUCAACCCCGUCCAGCCGUUGAAACUGGGGAUCUAGAGUGUGCGGGAGGUAUGCGGAAUGCGUGGUGUAGCGGUGAAAUGCAUAGAUAUCGCGCAGAACCCCGAUUGCGAAGGCAGCAUACCGGUGCACCACUGACGCUCAGGCACGAAAGCGUGGGUAUCGAACAGGAUUAGAUACCCCAGUAGUC